CACGUAGGGACCGAGCGUUGUCCGGAUUCAUUGGGCGUAAAGAGCUCGUAGGCGGUCGGGUAAGUCGGGUGUGAAAUCUCCGGGCUCAACUCGGAGGGGCCACCCGAUACUGCACGACUCGAGUCCGGUAGGGGAGUGGGGAAUUCCUGGUGUAGCGGUGAAAUGCGCAGAUAUCAGGAGGAACACAGGUGGCGAAGGCGCCACUCUGGGCCGGUACUGACGCUGAGGAGCGAAAGCGUGGGUAGCAAACAGG
rnacentral:rRNA from 1 species